CCUACGGGUGGCAGCAGUCGAGAAUCAUUCACAAUGGGGGAAACCCUGAUGGUGCGACGCCGCGUGGGGGAAUGAAGGUCUUCGGAUUGUAAACCCCUGUCAUGUGGGAGCAAAUUAAAAAGAUAGUACCACAAGAGGAAGAGACGGCUAACUCUGUGCCAGCAGCCGCGGUAAUACAGAGGUCUCAAGCGUUGUUCGGAAUCACUGGGCGUAAAGCGUGCGUAGGCGGUUUCGUAAGUCGUGUGUGAAAGGUGCGGGCUCAACCCGCGGACGGCACAUGAUACUGCGAGACUAGAGUAAUGGAGGGGGAGCCGGAAUGCAUGGUGUAGCAGUGAAAUGCGUAGAUAUCGAGAGGAACACUCGUGGCGAAGGCGGGUUCCUGGACAUUAACUGACGCUGAGGCACGAAGGCCAGGGGAGCGAAAGGGAUUAGAUACCCCUGUAGUC
rnacentral:rRNA from 1 species